UACGGGGGGGGGCAAGCGUUGUUCGGAAUUACUGGGCGUAAAGGGCUCGUAGGCGGCCAACUAAGUCAGACGUGAAAUCCCUCGGCUUAACCGGGGAACUGCGUCUGAUAUUGGAUGGCUUGAGUUUGGGAGAGGGAUGCGGAAUUCCAGGUGUAGCGGUGAAAUGCGUAGAUAUCUGGAGGAACACCGGUGGCGAAGGCGGCAUCCUGGACCAACACUGACGCUGAGUGAGCGAAAGCCAGGGGAGCAAACGGGG
rnacentral:rRNA from 1 species